rnacentral:rRNA from 1 species
UACGGAGGAUGCGAGCGUUAUCCGGAUUUAUUGGGUUUAAAGGGUGCGUAGGCGGUCCGUUAAGUCAGCGGUAAAAUUGCGGGGCUCAACCCCGUCGAGCCGUUGAAACUGGCAGACUUGAGUUGGCGAGAAGUACGCGGAAUGCGCGGUGUAGCGGUGAAAUGCAUAGAUAUCACGCAGAACUCCGAUUGCGAAGGCAGCUUACUAAGCCAUAACUGACACUGAAGCACGAAAGCGUGGGGAUCAAACAGG